rnacentral:rRNA from 1 species
UACGGAGGGUGCAAGCGUUAUCCGGAUUCACUGGGUUUAAAGGGUGCGUAGGCGGGCAGGUAAGUCCGUGGUGAAAUCUCCAAGCUUAACUCGGAAACUGCCGUGGAUACUAUUUGUCUUGAAUAUAGUGGAGGUGAGCGGAAUAUGUCAUGUAGCGGUGAAAUGCUUAGAGAUUACAUGGAAUACCAAUUGCGAAGGCAGGUUACUACCAAUAUAUUGACGCUGAUGGACGAAAGCGUGGGGAGCGAACAAG